CCCUUAGAUGUCCUGGGCCGCACGCGCGUUACACUGAUGCAUUCAACGAGCUUAUAACCUUGGCCGAGAGGCCUGGGCAAUCUUGUUAACGUGCAUCGUGAUAGGGAUAGAUUAUUGAAAUUAUUAAUCUUGAACGAGGAAUUCCUAGUAAACGCAGAUCAUCAAUCUGCAUUGAUUACGUCCCUGCCCUUUGUACACACCGCCCGUCGCUACUACCGAUUGGGAAAAUUUUAGAGAGUCCUGGACUGAUGAUUGUUCGGCUUCACGGCCUUACUUUCGUCGGGAAAGAAUUCGAUAAUAUUUUUCUAGAGGAAGUAAAAGUCGUAACA
rnacentral:rRNA from 1 species